ACGCUGGCGGCACGCCUAACACAUGCAAGUCGAACGAAGUAGCAAUACUUAGUGGCAGACGGGUGAGUAACAUGUAGGUAUCUACCCUUUGGCCUGGAAUAACACGAGGAAACUUGUGCUAAUACCGGAUAAGUCUUUACGGAGAAAGCUUUAUGCACCAUUGGAUGAGCCUGCACUUGAUUAGUUUGUUGGUGGGGUAAUGGCCUACCAAGACUGUGAUCAAUAGCUGAUUUGAGAGGAUGAUCAGCCACAUUGGGACUGAGACACGGCCCAAACUCCUACGGGAGGCAGCAGUGGGGAAUCUUGCACAAUGGAGGAAACUCUGAUGCAGCGAUGCCGCGUGAGUGAAGAAGGCCUUUGGGUUGUAAAGCUCUUUCGUCGGGGAAGAAAAUGACUGUACCCGAAUAAGAAGGUCCGGCUAACUUCGUGCCAGCAGCCGCGGUAAUACGAAGGGACCUAGCGUAGUUCGGAAUUACUGGGCUUAAAGAGUUCGUAGGUGGUUGAAAAAGUUAGUGGUGAAAUCCCAGAGCUUAACUCUGGAACUGCCAUUAAAACUUUUCAGCUAGAGUAUGAUAGAGGAAAGCAGAAUUUCUAGUGUAGAGGUGAAAUUCGUAGAUAUUAGAAAGAAUACCAAUUGCGAAGGCAGCUUUCUGGAUCAUUACUGACACUGAGGAACGAAAGCAUGGGUAGCGAAGAGGAUUAGAUACCCUCGUAGUCCAUGCCGUAAACGAUGUGUGUUAGACGUUGGAAAUUUAUUUUCAGUGUCGCAGCGAAAGCGAUAAACACACCGCCUGGGGAGUACGACCGCAAGGUUAAAGCUCAAAUGAAUUGACGGGGACCCGCACAAGUAGUGGAGCAUGUGGUUUAAUUCGAAGAUACGCGCAGAACCUUACCAACACUUGACAUGUUCGUCGCGACUCUAAGAGAUUAGAGUUUUCGGUUCGGCCGGACGAAACACAGGUGCUGCAUGGCUGUCGUCAGCUCGUGUCGUGAGAUGUUGGGUUAAGUCCCGCAACGAGCGCAACCCUCACUUUUAGUUGCCAUCAUUUAGUUGGGCACUCUGAAAGAACUGCCAGUGAUAAGCUGGAGGAAGGUGGGGAUGACGUCAAGUCCUCAUGGCCCUUACGUGUUGGGCUACACACGUGCUAUAAUGGUAUCUACAACAGGAAGCAAGACUGCGAGGUCAAGCAAAUCCUUAAAAGAUACCUCAGUUCGGAUUGCACUCUGCAACUCGAGUGCAUGAAGCUGGAAUUACUAGUAAUCGUGGAUCAGCGUGCCACGGUGAAUGCGUUCCCGGGUCUUGUACACACCGCCCGUCACACCAUGGGAGUUGGUUCUACCUUAAGGCAAGGUUUAAAACCCUUGACCACGGUAUAGUCAGCGACUGGGGUGAAGUCGUAACAAGGUAACC
rnacentral:rRNA from 1 species